CUACGGGCUGCAGCAGUGGGGGAUAUUGCACAAUGGGCGAAAGCCUGAUGCAGCAACGCCGCGUGAAGGAUGACGGAUUUCGGUCUGUAAACUUCUAUCAGCAGGGAAGAAAAUGACGGUACCUGACUAAGAAGCCCCGGCUAACUACGUGCCAGCAGCCGCGGUAAUACGUAGGGGGCAAGCGUUACCCGGAAUUACUGGGUGUAAAGGGUACGUAGGCGGCUGAUCAAGUCAGAUGUGAAAGCCCGGAGCUCAACUCCGGGAUUGCAUUUGAAACUGGUCGGCUAGAGUGCAGGAGAGGAAAGUGGAAUUCCUAGUGUAGCGGUGAAAUGCGUAGAUAUUAGGAAGAACACCAGUGGCGAAGGCGGCUUUCUGGACUGUAACUGACGCUGAGGUACGAAAGCGUGGGGAGCGAACAGGAUUAGAUACCCUGGUAGUC
rnacentral:rRNA from 1 species